UCAUAUACAGCUAUUCAUAAAGGGAAUUAAUUGUUGUCCACAUAUGUUUAUCCAUUUAUAUUUAUCCAUUGAAAUGUUGGUAUUUUCUAUGCUAAACAUUUUCAUAGUAAUACAGAUGGCAUUAAAAUACCUCAAAAAACAGAAACAAACAACAACAACAACCAAACAGAAACAGCAACUAGUAAAAAUAUGUUAUGACUUCACUGCACAUGGGAAGGUUAAAAGGCAAUUAUACUUUAUGAAUUUAACAUUUUGUCAGUGGAAAUCUGUCUCUGAUGUUUGCAAAAAUAUCCCAGUUUAAAUGUUUAAAUUUCCAUCAGUGUGGGAUAAUUUCAUUCUUUUCAUUGGCAUCAAGGGACUAUUCAUCCAUAGUGUUUGAUGCAGCUGCUCUGCUCCCCAGAACUAAGGAUAUAUUAUAUGUUGCUUAUUUCUUUGGUCACACUUUUUGUAUUAUAUAGCUUAUUGUCUUGGUGAUCUUUCCAUUAAAAUGGUUAAUGUGAUGAGAGGAAGAAAGAAGGAAAAUCUGUGAGGGUCUUAGCUUCAGAUACAGAUAUAGUUGCUCAAGGCUUAAUAUGAGACUCUGUUCUCCUUCAGUCAAAGCAGCUCAUUUUAUGGUAGCUGUAGACUGACUGAAGUCAUGGUGGGAACAGGUUGUCCAGAGAGCUGGUGGAUACCCUGACCCUGGAGGCACUCACGGUCAGGCUGUACAGCUCUGAUGGAGCUGUAGUUGUCCCUAUUAAUUGCAGGGAAGUUGGACUAGAUGGCCUUUAAGUGUCCCUUCAACUCAAAUGAUUCUAUGACUAUGAUUCUAUGGUUGUUAGGAGCUGUAUGACUGUCUUAAAUGAAAAAGGCAAUGAGAUGCUGCAAAAGUGCUGUUUUUCCACAGUUCCAGUGAGUGAACAUGUUUUGUCAUUUGCAUUCCUUUCAUUUAACAGGGGCAGAUAGAGAUGAGUUAAGAGAGGAAAUCAUCAUUAUGACUCAGCGCCUGUACAGCAGUAGGAGAUUUCAGUUGGAGCACAAAGGCGCAGACUGUUGAAGGAGCAGAUGCAGACAGGGCAAUGGUUCAUGAGCAAAUUGAUGACUUGAUGGUAGCUCAGAAACCAGGAGCAUUGUUCCAGUGGUGAUGUCAAAAUUACAAACUGUGUGUUGUAAUUAAUAAAACCCUUUCCAUCAGAGAGCUGGAUUUAAGGGCUUUGGCACAAGUGCAGUUAGCGUGCAGAAGAUGUAUGUUUCUUUCUCCUAGUGAUGCUAGAACAAAUAGCCCUGAUUUGCACAGUGAGUGGCAGAAAUUAGAAAAGAUAUAUGGGAUUUUAAGCUUAAUUCCUGUCAUUUAGACCUCUGGCUUGUGGUUGAGCAGUGGAGUUAGGAAUGUGAAGUAAAAAUGAAAUUAAAAAUAUCCAGUAGAGAAAUAGGCUGAGAGCACUGUACAGUUCUCUUAGGGAGAUUUGCCUUCUGUUUUACUGUGAUGAAAGAGUACUUUCAUGCUGGUAGUAUGUGAGACCCUUUGUUUCCAUGCUGUAGACAGGAACAAGAGCAGAGUCAUAGUUUGAGCUGAUUGGAGCAUGUUGCUUUGCUGUUUGGGUGCCAUCAUGGUUUGAUGCCAUAUUUCCAAGUAAAACUGCAGGUUCUGGGUAACAAAUUCUGCCAGGAGAAGGUGAAUUUUCUGCAUGAGUGCCAGGUAUUGCUUCAUCUUCACAACUUUCCCUUACCAACUUUCAUUUUAGGAAAAAAAAAGGAACACCUCUCUUAACAUUUAUAUUCACUCCUUGACUUACUACCUUUUUGUUUUCAGACAUGAAGGGGUGAUGGGGCAAAGCAUCCCUCUCUGCAGAUCAUUCCCAAGCUCAGGUGCUGUGAGAUGGGGCAUAGAUUCCCUUGUACCACGUACAGCAAGAGAGGAAUUAAGCAGCAAGAAUUAAAUGACAGAAACAUUUUACGUUGGAUGUCAGAAGAUAUCUCUUCCCAGCAUGACUGUUGUGUGCUCUGCUCAGUACAGACUUCCUCUGAUCACUGGCACGUUGAAGAAGUCCCUCCUCCAAGAUUUCUGUAAUAAUGUGAAGAUGAAAGACAGAAAUCAAGACUAUGUGAAAUGUUGAUUGGGGGUCUGAAUUUAACUGGCAAAAGAGAUUAGUUCCUGAAAAUUACAUUAGCAGUGGCUUGAAAACCUAUUCAAAUAAAAAAAAUGAGUAAGGAACUCUGGAUUACAGUCAUACUUGUAUUUUUGAAAGACAAAGAGGGAACCAGAAAUGCUAUAUUGUUAAGCUUCAUAUUAAGCAAUGCCUAACAUCAGUUGGAUUAAAAUUAAGGAUAAAAAAAUAGCAUUUGGCUAAGUCCAAUAGUAAAUAUUCCUUUGCUUGAAACUAGAUGAUCAUUGUAGUCCUUUUCAACCCAGGCCAUUCUAUGAUAUGAUUCAAAGAAAGGCUUCACACCUAACCUUCCUGGCCUUUGCACUGACUAUUCAAGCUCUGCCAGUAGCACCUGUCCUUUUUUCCCACUUCUCAUUUUCUUCCACUUGUCUCUUUAUGUUCUUCUGAAACAAAGCAAUCUUAUAGAACCCCAGCACCCUUUAUCCCUUCUUCUGCCCAAACGUCCCCAGGGUGUAAAUUCCAAGAGAUAUUGGUUGCCAGGUAUUCAAGGAUGACUGCCACACAUUGUUUCUUUCUUUCUGGGUUACCAUUUUCAUUCUGGCUCUGCUAUAAGGUAUCUGUUUUGUUCUCUCUUGCCCGAUUUUAGCUGUGUAUUCUCAGUCUGAACCUCUUAAAUAUUUUCAAUCUGUACUGUACGUCUAAAUCUUAAUGAAAUAUACAGAAUUGCUAUAUUUUAUACUUCAGAGCUAUACCCAUAAUAAUAAGAAAAAAAUUCUUUAUUUUUCUUCAGCAAAACUGAUGAACUAUAAAUGGUUUGCUUUUUGGCUUAUAUUUGUUAAAAUUUGGCAAGACAUCUGCAUCAUGAAAAUUUAGAGACUGAAAAUCAAAUAACAUAUUGGGGAUUCUUCCUCUCUUGCUCCGGUACAUACAUCCUCUGUUAUCACUCUGUCCUUCACCAGAAAGUGAAUCUAUUCAUAAUUAUAAUAUUUUUUAACACUUUGACACGCUAAAUUACCUCCACAACACAACUCUCCCAGAUAGAACAGAAGCUUAUGCUAUAUGUCAGCUCUACAUCUUGUUUCACAGCUCAGGUGUGUAACUGUUGGCAGCUGCAUGUAUAUGGAUAUGACAGCGAGUGUUUUAUACCAGAUUCCCAUUUAAGGCCUCAACCAAAACCUACUGCAGCCAAGAAACACAUAUACAGAUUAUAUAGAAUCAUAGAAUGCUUUAGGUGCCUUCCAACCCAAACCAUUCUAUGAUUCUGGGAUUCUAUGACUUCAAUGGGACUGAUUCAACUGAAGUUGAAUCUUAAGGCACUUAAGUUUUUUUUUCCAUCAGCCCUUGCCAUUUUUAAUUUUCUACUUCUGCACAAAUUACGUGUCUACUGCCUUGACAGCAUUCUUGAUAUACUUGGAAUACCUAUGGAAAAUGAUAAUGUCAGCAAUACAGCAAUUAAACUGUUUUUUUGUUUGUUUGUUUUGUUUUGUUUUCUGGAUGAGAGCAUAUGUCAUUAAAUUCUCAUUUCAAAUUGUAACCCAACAGGAGUUUGUAAAUUAA
ensembl:lncRNA